AGUGAACGCUGGCGGUAGGCCUAACACAUGCAAGUCGAACGGCAGCACAGUAAGAGCUUGCUCUUACGGGUGGCGAGUGGCGGACGGGUGAGGAAUACAUCGGAAUCUACUUUUUCGUAGGGGAUAACGUAGGGAAACUUACGCUAAUACCGCAUACGACCUACGGGUGAAAGCAGGGGAUCUUCGGACCUUGCGCGAUUGAAUGAGCCGAUGUCGGAUUAGCUAGUUGGCGGGGUAAAGGCCCACCAAGGCGACGAUCCGUAGCUGGUCUGAGAGGAUGAUCAGCCACAAUGGAACUGAGACACGGUCCAGACUCCUACGGGAGGCAGCAGUGGGGAAUAUUGGACAAUGGGCGCAAGCCUGAUCCAGCCAUACCGCGUGGGUGAAGAAGGCCUUCGGGUUGUAAAGCCCUUUUGUUGGGAAAGAAAAGCAGCAGGUUAAUACCCCGCUGUUCUGACGGUACCCAAAGAAUAAGCACCGGCUAACUUCGUG
rnacentral:rRNA from 1 species